rnacentral:rRNA from 1 species
AUUGAACGCUGGCGGCAUGCCUUACACAUGCAAGUCGAACGGUAACAGGUCUUCGGAUGCUGACGAGUGGCGAACGGGUGAGUAAUACAUCGGAACGUGCCUAGUAGUGGGGGAUAACUACUCGAAAGAGUGGCUAAUACCGCAUGAGAUCUACGGAUGAAAGCAGGGGAUCGCAAGACCUUGUGCUACUAGAGCGGCCGAUGGCAGAUUAGGUAGUUGGUGGGAUAAAAGCUUACCAAGCCGAGGAUCUGUAACUGGUCUGUGAGGACGAUCAGCGCCACAGGGUCGUGGCCAGGGCCCAGACCCCUACGGAGGGAAGCAGUGGGGAAUUCGGACAAUGGGCGCAAGCCUGAUCCAGCAAUGCCGCGUGCAGGAUGAAGGCCUUCGGGUUGUAAACUGCUUUUGUACGUAACGAAAAGCCUUGGGUUAAUACCCUGGGGUCAUGACGGUACCGUAAGAAUGAGCACCGGCUAACUACGUGCCAGCCGCCGCAGUAAUAC